UUCUUCUAAUUGGGGUAAUUUGAUCCAAAUUCGUCCACAUUGUAUUAAAGAUUUUUUACUGGAGAUAAUCCGGUGCCUGGGAUUAGGUACUUGGGGAGGGUUUUGGGCUGCUGAGGUUGCCUGGUUUGCCUGGUUGGAACCGUGGUGAUUUUCUUUUCAUUGCGGUAAAGUGAUUAAGUUCUCACGACAAGCCCAACAGGAAUCGUUACGAUUAACUUGUCGUUAGUUUCUUGUGUUUGUUGUUUUGUAGUAUUGUUUCUGUUACGAGUGGGGGGAGUUGCAGCCAGUUUCAGAGCUGGAGAAUCAUUGGUGAAACUUGGUAGUGACAACGAGAAACCUUUCGAGUGUUAAGAUUAAGAUUAUUUUGUGCAGUGGUUGAUAGCUUUUGGUACUGGAAGCAUUGGAUGCGAAAUUAGCAGCUCGCGAGCGGCUUGUUGAUGUUUUUUGCAAUCAAAGUCAAACGUGUUGUGUGAGUUUGAGUGAUGGUUUGGUCCUUGUCUAGAGAAUGGUUUAUAUUGGUACUCCCAAUCGGGUUACUGGGUGGGAUCCCUUUGCUGUGGUACCUGACCCCACUGUCUUUGAAAAGGCGUUUACUUUUAAGCACCAUCUUGGAUGAUACAAGUCCACCAACUGAAGCACAGCAGUCUAAGACCUAUCGUGGAUCCGUGCUUCCUCAUUCCGCUUUGCAAAUGGUAUCAGAUAAUUUGUGGGUUGUUAUUGGAACACUUCCUCAGCCAGGACCAAAGUUUAGUAGAAACAUGGUGGUGUAUCGAAUUCCGAAUUCUCGUAGAUUGGUUUUACACUCAGUACUUUGCGUAAAUGAGCACGUUCUACGGCAGAUCAGCCACCUUGGUGAUGUAGAGUAUAUUAUUGUUCCCAAUUCGUAUCAUCGACUAGACGCGUCGUUGUUUCAAAGUAUUUAUCCGGACGCAACUUUGAUUUGCCCGAGGCGCGCUAUGGAAAAAGUGAACCAGUGGGUUAAAGUGACUACCUCUGUUGAAGAUGUACUCCGUCAAGGCGACCUUUGCAUAGAAGCUCUUUGCCCUGAAGGGGUUUCUUUCCUAAAUGAGCUGUUGUACCUGUGCAAGCUGGAAAAUGGUGAAACUGCCCUCAUAUGCACUGAUCUCUUCUUCAAUGUAAACCCUUCAACGGCUGAUUUUGUUUCGAGAUUUAUGGGAGUUGCCGGUGGUUUUGGUUUCACUCACUUUGGGAAACUGCUUUUGGAUGACAUACCAACUGUUAAGCGUUGGAUAACGAAAAACUUGCUCGAGAUCGUUGGCUACAAGAUAUCUGUACUUGUUGUUGCUCAUGGGGACAUCAUUACAGGCUGUGAACGUGUGGAGUCCAAGUUGGUUGAAGCAAUUAACCGCCUUUAGUUUUUUUGAAAGGUUGGUUUUAUUUAUGUUUGGAAAAUUGGGGCCCUAGAAUGGGAAUUAUAUUUUAGGUAAUGCGGGGUACUUCGAACAGUCAAAGAUACUGCUGCUGUUAACUUGAGCUUUAUUAAAAUGCUAAAACAACCUAAUAUUUACUUACAAGCACUGAGCAGGCGUCAAUCUCUAUACUACCUUUUUCAAGUUUGCAGAGACCUGUGUUUUUAUUAAACAGUCGCUUCCUCCGUUUUAUUUUAAACCUUAUUUAAUAAUAAUAAUAAGAUACUUUUUAUCCCAAAGUUACA
rnacentral:rRNA from 1 species